CCCUUCUUCAGCCAUCGACCCACCCCAUGUUCAGCCUGAGCAGCCUGUUGGGUUAGCUGCAGCGGCAGAAGGUUGGCCAAAAUGCAUAUCUAAGGCACCUCCUUGUGGGACAGGGGGGCACAAACAUGGACACAACGCUGGGCCGGAGGCAUCUGACGAAGGACAUGCAAGACCUCCUCCUUAUUAUACGAGAAAGCGUAAGGUUCAAAAAAGGUGAAAGGUACAGUUGGGACAUUAGCUGGAGGUAGAUAUUCAUGUGUUUGUGAAUGAUACAAUUCUUGUUGCUGUUAUCUUCGAGUAGCUACAAACUUGUUGCAUCAAUGAUUCUUUGUUGACAAUAUUCUUCUUGUUUCCUCAGCUCUUAUAUUUAUUUAUAGUUUCUCCAUUUC